AUUGAACGCUGGCGGCAGGCCUAACACAUGCAAGUCGAACGGUAGCACAGAGAGCUUGCUCUCGGGUGACGAGUGGCGGACGGGUGAGUAACGUCUGGGAAACUGCCCGAUGGAGGGGGAUAACUACUGGAAACGGUAGCUAAUACCGCAUAACGUCGCAAGACCAAAGUGGGGGACCUUCGGGCCUCACACCAUCGGAUGUGCCCAGAUGGGAUUAGCUAGUAGGUGGGGUAAUGGCUCACCUAGGCGACGAUCCCUAGCUGGUCUGAGAGGAUGACCAGCCACACUGGAACUGGAACACGGUCCAGACUCCUACGGGAGGAAGCAGUGGGGAAUAUUGCACAAUGGGCGCAAGCCUGAUGCAGCCAUGCCGCGUGUAUGAAGAAGGCCUUCGGGUUGUAAAGUACUUUCAGCGGGGAGGAAGGCGGUGAAGUUAAUAGCUUCACCGAUUGACGUUACCCGCAGAAGAAGCACCGGCUAACUCCGUGCCAGCCGCCGCCGUAA
rnacentral:rRNA from 1 species